AUGAUCCCUUGGGAGUCCAGCCUCCUAUACCUUUUUCCACCAAUCCCACUCAUCCAGAAAACCCUGGUCAGAGCUUGUCAGCUGAAAUCAGAUGCAAUCUUCAUUGCACUGUGGUGGCCUUGUCAGCCUUGGUUUUCCACCUCAAGACAAUGGAAGUUACCACGCUUAUCACUCAGGAUUCAGGCAACAUCAUCCAGAUCUCAAGUCACUACAUCUCACAGCUUGGAUGAUCACCCAUCGAUCAAGGGGGUUCUACAUAAAGCUAAGAAGCCUUCUACCAACCUUCUUUAUAAAUACAAGUGGAAAUUUUUUCUCAAUUUUGCUCAAUCAAAUCAUCUUCAAGUUUCCCCAGUUUCUCUGUCUACCUUACUUCAAUAUUUGCGCUAUUUGUUUGACUCCGGUUUGGCAUUAUCCACACUCAAAGUUUACAUCUCGACAAUUGUUUCUUUCCAACCUCGUGACUCAGAUUCUGCACGUUUUUUCUCCCACCCUACUCUCAAAUCCUUUUUGAAAGGCCUAUCAAAUAUCCAACCACCCAUCAAACCUCCUAUACCUCAGUGGUCUCUUCAGGUUGUUUUGUGUGUGCUUACGCGCCACCCGUUUCAACUGAUGGCCUCCUGUGACAUUCGUUUGCUGUCAUUUAAAACUUUGUUUUUGGUUGCCAUUACAUCUGCGAGAAGAGCGAGCAAACUAGCAGCUCUCAGGUCUGAUUCCCCUUAUCUAAAACUCUUCAAAUACAAGGUUACUUUAUAUCGUGACAUUUCCUUCUUACCUAAAGUUGUCUCCGAUUUCCACCUUAAUCAAUCCCUUAUAUUGCCUACUUUGUUUCUUGAACCUAUAUUGGAUAUUGAACGCUUGCUUCACUCGUUGGACGUUAGGAGAGCCUUGGCGUAUUAUGUUUCACGCACUAAGGACUUCGUACUGAACCAAGGCUGUUUAUAUGAUGUUUCCAUGGACAAUAUAGAGGUUCUCCUGCUUCCUCUUCAACUGUCUCCAGAUGGCUUGUCUCAACUAUUUCUCUGGCCUACGAACUGCAAAGCAAAACUCCCCCUGGAGGUCUCAAACCACAUUCCACCAGAGCUGUUGCAACAUCUACAGCCUUGCUAUAUGGUCUCGAUGUUCCAGGCAUCUGUAGAGCAGCCACUUGGUCUAAUGUGUCAACCUUCGUGA
rnacentral:lncRNA from 1 species